rnacentral:ncRNA from 1 species
CCCUCGGUGUUGGCUCUCUUGUCAUUGUGAAGCACAGUUUACCAAGUUUUGAUUGUUCACCUACUAAUAGGGAAGGAGAGCUGGGAUUACAUUGUCUCCAGACAGGUU